ACAACGGCUCUUUUCAGAGCCACCCAUGUUGUCAUAGAGUGGUUGU
rfam:Neotoma lepida isolate 417 scaffold_1433, whole genome shotgun sequence.